rnacentral:rRNA from 1 species
CCUACGGGGGGCUGCAGUAGGGAAUAUUGGUCAAUGGGUGAGAGCCUGAACCAGCCAUGCCGCGUGCAGGAAGACGGCCUUCUGGGUUGUAAACUGCUUUUAUCUGGGGAUAAAAAGGCCUUGCGAGGCACAUUGAAGGUACCAGAUGAAUAAGCACCGGCUCACUACGUGCCAGCAGCCGCGGUAAUACGUAGGUUGCAAGCGUUGUCCGGAUUUAUAGGGUUUAAAGGCGGUGUAUUCGGUCAGUGAUGAAAUCCAACAGCUCAACUGUUGAUGUGCCAAUGAGACUGAUGGACUUGAGUACAGACGAGGUAGGCGGAAUUGACAGUGUAGCGGUGAAAUGCAUAGAUAUUGUCAAGAACACCGAUAGCGAAGGCAGCUUGCUAGCCUGUAACUGACGCUGAGGCACGAAAGUAUGGGGAGCAAACAGGAUUAGAUACCCCAGUAGUC